rnacentral:rRNA from 1 species
CAGUAGCCGCGGUAAUACGUAGGUGGCAAGCGUUGUCCGGAAUUAUUGGGCGUAAAGGGCUCGCAGGCGGUUUCUUAAGUCUGAUGUGAAAGCCCCCGGCUCAACCGGGGAGGGUCAUUGGAAACUGGGAAACUUGAGUGCAGAAGAGGAGAGUGGAAUUCCACGUGUAGCGUUGAAAUGCGUAGAGAUGUGGAGGAACACCAGUGGCGAAGGCGACUCUCUGGUCUGUAACUGACGCUGAGGAGCGAAAGCGUGGGGAGCGAACAGGAUUAGAUACCCCCGUAGUCCCUGUCUCUUAUAC